GAUGAACGCUGGCGGCGUGCCUAAUACAUGCAAGUCGAGCGAACAGACGAGGAGCUUGCUCCUCUGACGUUAGCGGCGGACGGGUGAGUAACACGUGGAUAACCUACCUAUAAGACUGGGAUAACUUCGGGAAACCGGAGCUAAUACUGGAUAAUAUAUUGAACCGCAUGGUUCAAUAGUGAAAGACGGUUUUGCUGUCACUUAUAGAUGGAUCCGCGCCGCAUUAGCUAGUUGGUAAGGUAACGGCUUACCAAGGCAACGAUGCGUAGCCGACCUGAGAGAGUGAUCGGCCACACUGGCACUGAGACACGGUCCAGACUCCUACGGGAGGCAGCAGUAGGGAAUCUUCCGCAAUGGGCGAAAGCCUGACGGAGCAACGCCGCGUGAGUGAUGAAGCUCUUCGGAUCGUAAAACUCUGUUAUUAGGGAAGAACAAAUGUGUAAGUAACUAUGCACGUCUUGACGGUACCUAAUCAGAAAGCCACGGCUAACUACGUG
rnacentral:rRNA from 1 species